rnacentral:rRNA from 1 species
CCUACGGGAGGCAGCAGUAGGGAAUAUUGGGCAAUGGAGGCAACUCUGACCCAGCCAUGCCGCGUGCAGGAUGAAGGCGUUAUGCGUUGUAAACUGCUUUUAUAUAGGAAGAAAGAGUUCUUGCGAGAACAGUUGACGGUACUAUAUGAAUAAGCACCGGCUAACUCCGUGCCAGCAGCCGCGGUAAUACGGAGGGUGCAAGCGUUGUCCGGAUUUAUUGGGUUUAAAGGGUGCGUAGGCGGUUUAUUAAGUCAGUGGUGAAAGACGGUCGCUCAACGAUUGCAGUGCCAUUGAUACUGGUAGACUUGAGUGAGAUUGAGGUAGCUGGAAUGGAUAGUGUAGCGGUGAAAUGCAUAGAUAUUAUCCAGAACACCAAUUGCGUAGGCAAGUUACUAAGUCUCAACUGACGCUGAGGCACGAAAGUGUGGGUAUCAAACAGGAUUAGAUACCCUGGUAGUCCACACUGUAAACGAUGAUAACUAACUGUUGGCUUUCGGGUCAGUGGUACAGAGAAAUCGUUAAGUUAUCCACCUGGGGAGUACGCCGGCAACGGUGAAACUUAAAUGAAAUUGACCGGNUGAGAGNGCGAGCGACGACGAGGGAGAGG